CCAAAAUACUAUAGUGAAACCGAAAAGCUGAAGUGAAAGGAAGAGAGAUCGUGUUUUUCAGAAAUCUAGUUCAACAGAUCAUGUUCUUCUUCUCAAUCUUAUAAGUGAGAAUCUCAAUAUAAGGAAGGAACUUUUGAUUAUUGAUCUUCUUCAUCUAAAUUUCAGAGAUUAUUGGCUAACAAAAGCCAGGUAUGCAACUGAUCUAUAUCUAAACCCACCUAAGAGUUAUCUCUCUUUUAUCCCGUUCUAUUUAAGAUUGACGAUCGAGAAGAGUAAUAAUGGAAAAGCUGAACCUUGCAAGGAAUAUUUGUAAGAGGGUUUUUAGCUACAGAACAUUCAACGAGCGUCUCAGAAAUACCGCAGGGGAAUUUGGUGCCAUUAAUGACGAUUUGUACAAAGUCAGGGCAGACCCCAACUUCCGGAACUCUAUGUCGAAUUAUCCAAAGUUGAUUGAGGAGGCUGAACAUGUCCGUCAAGUGGCUCAACAGGCUGAAGAGACAGUUAGUAAACUCAUUCGUGGUUAUACACAUUUCAAGCAACAUGAAGAACCAAAUCUUGACAGCUUCAAUUAGUUCAAAAGUCAUGUUGCACCAUCUGUAGCAGCUACCAUGGUUAGCGUCCUACUUGUGAUGACUGCAUAUGAAAAUCAUUUGAGGAAGAAGUACAAAGAAAAGUUACAUGGGGCGACUGCACAUAAAGGAAGGACAUUUAAAGGAACC